CCCUAGCAGUCCAGUGGUGAGGACUCUGCAGUCUCACUGCUGUGGCCAGGGUUCAAUCCCUGGUCAGGGA
rnacentral:tRNA from 1 species